CUUCACCCCUGGCUCUCGGCAAUGCUGCUCCUCUCUCCUGCAUGGAUCACCUGCUCCUGGAAUUCAUUCUCCCAUUUCUUAGGUUGCCACUUUACUGUAGCUUCCUAAUCGAAGAGUCUUGCUGUGUCACCCAGGCUGGAAUGCCGUGGCACAAUCUCGGCUCAACCUCCACCUCCUGGGUUCAAGUGAUUCUUCUGUCUCAGCCUCCUGAGUAGCUGGGACUACAGGAAGAGUGCACAGGAGCCUGGCACUCCUGGACCUGAGGAAACCCUGAAACUGUUGGUAUUUGCAGAUCCUCUCCAAAAAGAGUUCACCGAUCUCCUAAGACUGCAAACCUGACCCCAGCAUGCUGGGAGCCAAGAGGGUCUGCGGAUCUCCCUGCUUAGCAAAUUGUGUGUAUAUAUAUACACACACACACAAUGAAAUACUAUUCAGCCUGAAAAGAAGAAAAUCCUGCCACUUAUGGCAACAGGGAUGAAUUUGAAGGACAUUAUGUUAAGUAAAAUAAACCAGA
rnacentral:lncRNA from 1 species